rnacentral:rRNA from 1 species
GACGAACGCUGGCGGCGUGCUUAACACAUGCAAGUCGAACGAUGAAGCCGGAGCUUGCUCCGGUGGAUUAGUGGCGAACGGGUGAGUAACACGUGAGCAAUCUGCCCUUGACUCUGGGAUAACUGCGGGAAACCGUAGCUAAUACCGGAUACGACACCUUGGGGCAUCCCAGGGUGUGGAAAGAAUUUCGGUCAAGGAUGAGCUCGCGGCCUAUCAGCUAGUUGGUGAGGUAAUGGCCCACCGAGGCGACGACGGGUAGCCGGCCUGAGAGGGUGACCGGCCACACUGGAACUGAGACACGGUCCAGACUCCGACGGGAGGCAGCAGUGGGGAAUAUUGCACAAUGGGCGAAGGCCUGAUGCAGCAACGCCGCGUGAGGGAUGAAGGCCUUCGGGUUGUAAACCUCUUUUAGCAGGGAAGAAGCGAAAGGGACGGUACCUGCAGAAAAAGCACCGGCUAACUACGUGCCAGCCGCCGCAGUAA